rnacentral:rRNA from 1 species
UACGUAGGGGGCAAGCGUUGUCCGGAAUCAUUGGGCGUAAAGAGCGUGUAGGCGGCCUGAUAAGUCGGCUGUGAAAGUCAAGGGCUCAACCCUUGAAUGCCGGCCGAUACUGUCAGGCUAGAGUCCGGAAGAGGCGAGUGGAAUUCCUGGUGUAGCGGUGAAAUGCGCAGAUAUCAGGAGGAACACCGGUGGCGAAGGCGGGACUCUGGGCCGAUACUGACGCUGAGGAGCGAAAGCGUGGGGAGCGAACAGG